CCACGGUUUUUCCUCCGCUAAGCCACUAAAUGACAACCUGCAUGUCAGUUUGUGUAGCUGUGGCAUCUAUCCAAUUCCUUCAUCACUGGUGAUGAAGAUCUACAACUCAUAGUCAAGAGAGAGACCAUGGACAGGCAAUUCUAAACUUUUAAUCCAACCUGCUAUUCUACACAUUUUUCCAUGAGGCUGAGAGAAAUUGUUGAAGUUUUAAAGCUAAUU
rnacentral:lncRNA from 1 species